UUCUACCCAUUCUGUUCUCUAAAAACAUCAGGGAAGCUACAUGUUUUUAUUAAGCCUGCAGUCCAGCUGAGCAAGGAGGUCAGUUUUUGUAGUGAUUGAUUGCAUUUGCCUUUUUUUUUUUUUUUUUUUUUUUUUUUCCUAAGGGCAUAGGUUAGUGCUCCUUCUGGCUUUGUUUUCAAAUGAAGACUGAUGCAGCAUAUCUUGUCUUGUUCCCCUCUUCAGCCAAAAGUAGUGGGAGGGGGAAGGAGGUUGGAAGCACGUACUCAAAUUAUUCAGUGUGAUAUCUUGUUUCACGGGAGGACACGGUUCUUGUGAGCUAAACUUCUGUCAGGGAAACAAGAUAGGAAGCUCCACUGUCUACAGGACAAUAGAAAAAAAAUCUUCUGUUUUGAGAACUGGCUUUCCACAUCUGAUGCCUCUUGCUGCUGCAAUUAGUGUUAAUGUGUGAACUAACAACCAGCUUUAAAAAGAGACGGAGCAAAGAAGAAACAUCGCACGAACUGCAACAGUACAUAUACCUUUUUCCUGCAUAUCACUGUGAGCUGAGAAGUGAGAAAUGCUGGUGAGUGGGAUGACAAGAACAUGACCUGCUCUGGGGACUUUGAGCUGACAAUACAGCAUUAAGAAGUGUCUGUCAUAAGCAAGGGAAGUUUCCAAGCAUGUAUUCUUUGGAAAGAACUGGAAAAAUUUGAAACUCUAUUUACAAGUUUUUGGUUUGGUUUGGUUUGGUUUUUAACUUCUCUGUGAAAUUUAUUGGGAUAUGACAUUGACAUUUGUUGUGUCCCCUGCCCUUUGACAUUUUGGACUUUAUGAAGACUGUAGCUCAAAAGUGUAGUGGCAGAAAUAUUUGCCAGAGGGGUACACUGGCCAUGUGGCAAGCUUAAGCUCUUUCAGCUCCUGGAGAUCCAGAAUCUUUGCUUUGACCUGUAUGUGUCAUUUCUGUGUUUCAGAUACACUGGCUGCUGAUCUUCAGUCUUUUUCUUUCAGGUAUUUAUAUCUACUGAAAAUGAUGCUGUGUUUUUAUGUCGUAUAACACAGGCUGUUAAAAAUGAGCCUCUAUGUAUGUGUCUAGGAAGCCUUUAAAUGAUUCAUUCUGAAGUGGAUUUGAUGUAGAGUCAAACAGCUCCAUACACAGUAUGAACUAAAGCAGUCCUCACUGAAGGGAGCUUAAUUAGAAUUUCUAUUUACUCUGAGAUUAUAUACAUUAGAUGUAUUUCAAACCAGUUCAAAAAUAAUUAGAUUAAUGGAACUUUAUUCAGUAAAACCUGAAUUGCGUGGAUUAUGGUAAUACACAAGGUUGAUGAUUUAUAUUCUUCAGUGUUGGUUUUGUGGUGCUUUCUAGCAAGGUUAAUGGGUAAUGAUCUGUGGUAAUGAAGAACACUACUGAGUAGUCUGACAUUGAAAUUAGUACAAGGAAGAAUAAAUCCAGUGCUGAAUCAGGUAACAUAUAU